GAUGAAGAACGUAGCGAAAUGCGAUAAGUAAUGUGAAUUGCAGAAUUCAGUGAAUCAUCGAAUCUUUGAACGCACAUUGCGCCCGCCAGUAUUCUGGCGGGCAUGCCUGUCCGAGCGUCAUUUCAACCCUCGAACCCCUCCGGGGGGUCGGCGUUGGGGAUCGGCCCUGCCUUUGGCGGUGGCCGUCUCCGAAAUACAGUGGCGGUCUCGCCGCAGCCUCUCCUGCGCAGUAGUUUGCACACUCGCAUCGGGAGCGCGGCGCGUCCACAGCCGUUAAACACACAACUGCUGAAAUGUUGACCUCGGAUCAGGUAGGAAUACCCGCUGAACUUAAGCAUAUCAAUAAGCGGAGGA
rnacentral:misc_RNA from 1 species